AAACUUUGCAGGGUCUAGAGGCUAGUCUUAAUCAACAAGGAAGCUCCUCUGAGCAGAGGCCACUCAUUGCACUACGAGGGGUUGACUUUCGCCACAUCCGCAAACUGCGGUUGCUUGGGGUGCACAAUUUUUGGUAACUGCGACUGCGUUCGCGCUGUCCCUA
rnacentral:snRNA from 1 species